rnacentral:misc_RNA from 1 species
GUCGUGGCUGGUGUGCCGGCAAGGGCGAGCGUGCGCCCGUCCUCGGCGUCGCCACCUCGCCCCCGUCUGAGAUCGACGCCACCAUCCCCCGAGCUCGAGAUCCGCUCGCCCCAUGGUGCCUCAUGGCCUCCCUCGCUAAUCUCGCCGCGGCAUCCAUGGCGCCACGGGAUCCAUGGUGCUGCCCUCGCCCUCGACGCCCGUGUCGGCGUGCCCCCGCUUGUCCAAACCCGCGCCCCCUCCCUCGCGCUCCACCUCACCCAGCGUUCCCCUCCACCACGCCCCUAGCCCGCCGCGCGAUCCCCGCCGCUCCAUCCCUUGACUGCAGCGCGCUCCUCGACCCCGCCCGGCGAGUCUUCGUCAAUCUCGUCCAUUGCGCUUGUCGAGCCCAAGAACGCGCAAAUCCGCCAUUCCCGCGCCCUCGCCUGACACGCGCUCGCCACCGGCUUCGCAACCCCGCAUUGCCAUACCCCUGCCUCGCCUCCCCCAUCCCCACCCCACCUCACCGUGCGUUCAGCUCCCCCUCGCCCGCGCCCGCCUCCUCCCCCACCAAACGAUGUCCGCCCAUCCCCAUGACCCUACGCUGCCGGAUCGUUAUCAAGUUCCUUCGCAUGCUAGACCUGGCCGUCGCCGACCUCGCAGGUGCCCAAUGUGGUAUACAAGGGGAAGCUCGAUGCCCAGCGCCACAUCGUUGUCAAGCGCUUCAACCGCUCUGCAUACCCCUGCCCCGACCUCCCCAUCCCCACCCCACCUCACCGUGCGUUCAGCUCCCCCUCGCCCGCGCUCGCCUCCUCCCCCAACAAACGAUGUCCGCCCAUCCCCACGACCCUGCGCUGCCGGAUCGUUAUCAAGUUCCUUCGCAUGCUAGACCUGGCCAUCGCCGACCUCGCAGGUGCCCAAUGUGGUAUACAAGGGGAAGCUCGAUGCCCAGCGCCACAUCGUUGUCAAGCGCUUCAACCGUUUUGCCUGGCCCUGACCCGCACCAGUUCCUGGUAUUCCAUUCGCCUUCUUUUUACCCUUUCUAAUUAUGUGCAUCUUGUGGUGGGUGUAAUUGGUAGUUCAGAACCUGGUUGUUUAUUUUGAGUAUUGUAGAUACAAUGGCAGUUCAGAUUGAGCAUUGUCUGCCCUGUUUAAAUUAAUAAUGCCAAGCCUUGACAAGCUCGACGGUUGGAGCUUCGUCUGUUCCCCUCUUUCAAUGAAUUAGGUGGCCGUCUCCUAUGUUUUAUCUCAAAGAACACCACACAAGCUUAAAUUAUUUAGAACAGCACGUGCUGCUGGUAAUGGUGACCUUUUAUUUCUCAUAACUAAUCACCCGUUCUUAUAUUAUGUACCAUAAAUUAUUUCAUCUACUUAUCUAAAUAAAUGAUUUAGUAGUCAUAUAAUUCCUGGUAUUCCAUUCGCCUUCUCUUUUACCCUUUCUAAUUAUGUGCAUCUUGUGGGUGUAAUUGACAGUUCAGAACCUGGUUGUUUAUUUUGAGCAUUAUAGAUUCAUUAGCAGUUUGGAACAUUAUGUCUGGAAUUGGCUGUCCUGUUUAAAUUAAUAAUGCCAAGCCUUGACAAGCUUGAAAGUUGGAGCUUGGUCUAUUCCCCUCUUUCAAUGAACUAGGUGGUCGUCCCCUAAGUUUUAUCUGGAAGAACACCGCACAUGCUUAAAUUAUUUAGAAAAUCACGUGCUGCUGGUAAUUGUGACCAUUUAUUUUCCUG